AUCUUCGAACCACGCAAACCACGACGCGUUCCCUUAACAAGCGCAGUUGGUGCAUCGCGAGUGGCCCAAAGCUGGUGCCACGUACCUGCAACGUAUCUACGUUGAACACACGAGAACUGUCCGAUAGAUAGAUUUGUACGAGGUGCAUCAUCCGCGUAUUGCCUGCGGAAUCGUGAAUUAAUCGUCCCCGAAUUACCAUUCUAUGGAGCCCGGUGCACGGCAGAUGGAGCGGCCGGCUCGUUAACCGGAAGUCCUCGUUACACCGGCGGAGUAACAGAGUCGUUCGAUCCGGGCGGCACGGUUGACGUUACGAUGCAAUUAUGGGGAAGAAGAUCGUGGCAGAAAAUCUGGGAAUGCAAACAAAGGGAGGAAACCGCAAUCGUUUCAUCGUUAAUACAGCUUUGAAACGCCUCGGGUGGAAAAGUCGUUUCCUUAGAAAAUCGAAUGAUUCGAAUUCGGCUACACAUUUACACAUUUAUGGAAUAUCGAUUUCCUCUCUCACAGUGGAGGAAGACAGUCUCGAAGCUUUCGUACAUUCACCGAAGACUAAAUUCGCCCAAGGGCUGCCAUCGUGUCAAAGCCAUCGAAUCGUAGUCGCAAAUUUUAAAUUCGAUCGAACAGAUAACGAUACAAUAGGUUCUUCUUUUUAUCUCUUUGACGAACUGAUAAUAUCAAAAAGUGUAUACUAUAUAUAUAUAUAUACGCGUUAUGCAUAUAUUUUUAGCAAUAAAGUUAAAGAUUUAAUCGAGAAAAUGACGUACGUAAAAAAUCCAAAAUUUAAAAAAGAGGAACACUGCGCGAGAACGAAGAAAAUCCACGUUGUUCAAUUUUAUUAAAAAAGUAUCGAGUUCAAAGUUUUACGCAAGACAUUUCAUUACGCGAGAUGAAACGUCGGAUAUCGAAAAAUUCGCGAAAAAUUCAUAAAUUCUCUAAACGACUUUGCAAAAUAGUGAACAGCACCAGCUGUGCUGACAUCCGCAAAGCUUUUGAUCGGAUUUAGAGGUUGAAGAACUUUCGCCGAGCUUGCGGUGACGAAAAAGUCAAAAAGUACAUCAAAGACGAAACGAAGCUUUGGUCGGACGUACUUUACAGAUUCCUGGAACUGGAUUGCAUGACAUUGUCAGAUAAGAAAAAUAACAAUUUUCAUUAUACAGUACAACACGCAUAUAAGCUUAAUCUCUGGAUGAUCCAGGGUUUACGUAGGAUUAACGUGAGAUAAAAUCCAGUAAUUGAUCAAAGAAUUUUAAUAAAGCCGGAAUUGAAAUAAA